rnacentral:rRNA from 1 species
UACAGAGGUCCCGAGCGUUGUUCGGAUUCACUGGGCGUAAAGGGUGCGUAGGUGGUUGGGUAAGUUUGAUGUGAAAGCUCAGGGCUUAACCCUGAAAUGGCAUUGAAUAGCUACUUAACUGGAGGUUUGGAGGGGGACUGGAAUUCUUGGUGUAGCAGUGAAAUGCGUAGAUAUCAGGAGGAACACCGGUGGCGAAGGCGGGUCUCUGGGCAGUAACUGACGCUGAGGAGCGAAAGCGUGGGGAGCGAACAGG